rnacentral:snRNA from 1 species
AAGAGAGUCAAAGAGUGCU